GCGCCCAUAGUUCAGUUGGAUAGAACGCCAGAUUGCGGUUCUGGAGGUCAGAGGUUCGAAUCCUCUUGGGCGCGCCA
rnacentral:tRNA from 1 species